GACAGAUUCUAAUGGAUUCUUAAUGGGAUGUUUUCCAUUGCUGAUGAAUCCUAAAUUCUACAGGUGUGGAUGUUUUCAGAAGCAAUUUAUUAAAAUCCCUAUUCAGUUGAAAUCUUAAUUGCUGUUAGGACAAUACCUGAAGAUCCACACUCAAUUAAAGUUCUGGAAUGCAACACAAUGGACAACAGGCCCAUGAAGUAUCUUUCAGACAAGACAAAUUGAUGAAACUUGUGUCAUUUCAAAUUACAGCCUGAAGUUCUGACCGUCUGUCAUCAAAUAUAGCGACUAUCUUACAAAUGUACUAUUCUGGCUAUUGACUGAAUUACACACUUCACUUUGACGUCUGAAAGUUCCCAAGAAAUUGCUUUUAUUAUAAGCAUUCAAAUAAGAUAAACAUU